rnacentral:lncRNA from 1 species
GAAAAGGAAGGAGGUCCUAUAUAGGAUGGCUACAGGUCUGCCUCCAAUUCUUUCCCCUUUCCUUCCUGUCCCUUUUGCUCUGAUUUCUACAUCGUCCUAAUUAGUAAAAUGAUGGAGUGAAAUACAUGACUGAUGGCAGAACUGCAUAAAGGACAGGGGUGGGCACUCUAGUCAUGGGUCUUACUGCCAAGUUGGAUUUAAGAUGCAACGGUGACUCAACUCAGACUCGACUUGGGUUUGUUUUCCAACAGCUCGGACUGAACUUGUCAUCUGGAACCUACCCACCCCCCCCUUUUUUCUGGGGGAAUAAAAGCUUGUUUUUAAUAGGGACUCAGGACUUGGUACCAAAGACUCACACUCAGACUUGGGACUUGGACUCAAAAGACUUGCCGACAAGAGAACCAGACAAAGCAGAGAAAUCCAGCAGAGAAGAGAGCAGCACAUAAGAGUCAGAAUUAGCACUGAAACAUAAAUAGCUUCUAUUGCCGGGCUUGCAUUAAUGAGACUUGCGUGUGCAGAACAUAGAAUGGCCUGCCCCAACCUAACAUCUCUCAUCAUUGCCUUAUUUGCUGAUGGGGGUUACAGCUUGAAACAUCUGGAGGGUGCAAGCUUGGGAAAAACUAAUGCCAGAAAAAGGCAUGAGAAACAGAGAGAUGGAUACAGGGCUUGCUUUCUUUCUUUCUCUCUGGUGGAACUCACCAGAACUGAGUUCCAGCACCUUUGCCUGCUUUUAAGUAAGAUGUGUUUACUAUUACACUGCCUGGUCAAACACCAUGCUUUAAGGUCUGGCUUUAGUUAGUCCUCACAGCCCAAGGCCCUGGUUUCCAAAAAAGGGCCUGCAGCAGGCAGCAAAUCUCCAAGAAGCUGGAAUCACAAGCUUUCUGUCAUAAUCUGACUGCUUUGUUUCAUGUGAUUUGGGACAUUAUUUUGUGCCAAAAACUGUAAUAUGGCAGGUAAUAUAUGAAAAAUUCAAAAAUUGCUUUUCAUCUUGUGCACACACACAAAAAAAAGAUAUGUGAAGAAACUGAAACAAUGGAAUCAAAUGAAAUCUCAACGACACCUAUGCCGUUCUGUGCUGCACACACAGACUCAGCUGUUGGACAUCGGAGUACCAUUUCCACUGAAAGGCUGAUUGGUUAUCUGCAAAAAUGAGAAACCUGGUUGCAUUCAGUGCCAAAGUGGUGGGGACAGCUGGAGUUGAGAAGAGGAUGGAAAUAUCCAAAGAAUUGUGAAAUCUCUGCUGAAGGCAAAAAAAGAACACAGCAGUUACAGUCAUUAAGGAAGAAAUUUUUUGAUCAUAAAGAAGGUUUGUGUCACAAAGCUCCUGUUAAGUGGGCA